CAUCUUUAUCUUCUCAAUUAUGCUAAUAAUGGCGUCACCUAUGACUAUUCGGGAGGGGGAUCCUAGAAGAUUCGGAGCAGGUUACGCCACGACAUAAAACAAGCGACCCUCAACCACUUCACACUUUAUUUUAAUGGGUCUCGACCAUUUCAAACUUUAUUGGUUUCAUUUAAACAAAUUCAGGCUGGUGUGGUGAAUAAUAUAAUAAAAUAAAGCAAGUUGAUGGGAGUGGGACAAGCAAAAACGUGCAAGCAAACACAUAACUGGAAGAGA